CCUAAACAUGCAAGUCGAGCGGAUGAACGGACGUUGCUCCUGGNUUCAGCGGCGGACGGGUGAGUAAUGCCUAGGAAUCUGCCUGGUAGUGGGGGAUAACGUCCGGAAACGGGCGCUAAUUACCGCAUACGUCCUNCAGGGAGAAAGUGGGGGAUCUUCCGGACCUCACNCUAUCAGAUGANGCCUANGUCGGAUUAGCUAGUUGGUGGGGUAANGGGCCUACCAAGGCGACGAUCCGUAACUGGUCUGAGAGGAUGAUCAGUCACACUGGAACUGAGACACGGUCCAGACUCCUACGGGAGGCAGCAGUGGGGAAUNUUGGACAAUGGGCGAAAGCUGAUCAACCAUGCCGCGUGUGUNAUGAAGGCCUUCGGAUUGUAAGCACUUUAGUNGGAAGAAGGCAGUAGUUAUACUUGCUGUUUGCUUCACAGAUAGCACCGGUACUCUGCA
rnacentral:rRNA from 1 species